AUUGAACGCUGGCGGCAGGCCUAACACAUGCAAGUCGAACGGUAACAGGAAGCAGCUUGCUGCUUCGCUGACGAGUGGCGGACGGGUGAGUAAUGUCUGGGAAACUGCCUGAUGGAGGGGGAUAACUACUGGAAACGGUAGCUAAUACCGCAUAACGUGGCAAGACCAAAGAGGGGGACCUUAGGGCCUCUUGCCAUCGGAUGUGCCCAGAUGGGAUUAGCUAGUAGGUGGGGUAACGGCUCACCUAGGCGACGAUCCCUAGCUGGUCUGAGAGGAUGACCAGCCACACUGGAACUGAGACACGGUCCAGACUCCUACGGGAGGCAGCAGUGGGGAAUAUUGCACAAUGGGCGCAAGCCUGAUGCAGCCAUGCCGCGUGUAUGAAGAAGGCCUUCGGGUUGUAAAGUACUUUCAGCGGGGAGGAAGGGAGUAAAGUUAAUACCUUUGCUCAUUGACGUUACCCGCAGAAGAAGCACCGGCUAACUCCGUG
rnacentral:rRNA from 1 species